rnacentral:rRNA from 1 species
UACCAGCACCCCGAGUGGUCGGGACGUUUAUUGGGCCUAAAGCAUCCGUAGCCGGUUCUACAAGUCUUCCGUUAAAUCCACCUGCUUAACAGAUGGGCUGCGGAAGAUACUAUAGAGCUAGGAGGCGGGAGAGGCAAGCGGUACUCGAUGGGUAGGGGUAAAAUCCGUUGAUCCAUUGAAGACCACCAGUGGCGAAGGCGGCUUGCCAGAACGCGCCCGACGGUGAGGGAUGAAAGCUGGGGGAGCAAACCGG